GACAAAAAAAAAAAAAAAAAAGAAUAGAGGAAUAACCACUGGAUUGGGCCAUGUGGUGGUCACUGACAAGAACAAUGUCCAUAUAUUGAAGUGGGUUUUUAAAAGGGAGUAAGAGGAAACAAAGUGGAGACAAAUGUCUCACACCUCUUUCAGAGAGUUUUGCUGUAAAAGGCAGCAGAAUACUGGGAUCAAUAACUGAAAGGAGAAAUGGGGUCAUGGGGAGGGUUGUUCUGUUUUCAGAUGGGGGAGAUUGGGGCAUAGGCAAAGCUGCUGGGAAUGAUCCAGUGGGGAGAAAAGCUGAUGCUGCAGGAAUGAUGUGGGAGGUGGGACCCAGGGCAAGAGUAGAGGUGUGGCCUAGAGCGGGAACACGGACAGUUCAUGUGCUGGAACACAGAUGCACAGCGCGUGCACAGACAUGGUGCCAAGAGCAUGUGGCAGAUCUCCUCUGCUUCUGCUGUUUAAGUGAAAUGAGAAACAAGGUCAUCAGAUGAGCUUGCCAAGGGAGGAGGGGGCUUAGAAGUCUGAGGAGGAAAAAGUGUGAAACAGUUGUCUGGGGAAGUGGGAGAGGGAACUGACUGGAGAAAUAGGGUAACAUGGCCAAAUACAUGUCAGGGACACUUGAGGUUUAUGGUCAUGAGACCAGGUGGGUGCAAGCGAGGAGCAGUUAGAGAAUUGGAUUGUACCAGGCUGGAUUUUUGCUGCAUGAGUAAAGUAAAGACGGAUUGUACUGGCCGCAUCUCCAGUGUCUAGAAUGGAGGUGAACAAGACAGAAAAAUGUCCUGGCAUUUGCAGAGCUUAGAUUCUGUGAUGAAAACAGACAGUAUGGAGGGGAUACAAAUAAGUCACCAGGCAGUGUUAGUGCUAAUCAGAUAGCAAAACAGGGUCCUGACCUUAAGAUCGGGGCUGGGGAGCAGCUCUGGAUAGGAUGCGUUGAAGAGCAUGUCACCAACAAGAUGACUUUUGAGCUAAGAUCUGAGUGAGGAGAAGCCAACUGUGUGAAAUCAGGAAGGAGCGUAUUCAAGGCAGAGAGAGCACAAGGGCAGAGACACUGAAGCAGGGCUAGCAAGGGAAUAAGAGAUUUUUUAAACUGGGGAGGACACACUGGCGAGGACCUGGCCAUUGCCUGGCCAUUGGGCUGAGGGAUCGAGAAGCAUUGAGAUUGAUUCCCAGGGGAUUCUGCCUUGGGUAACGGAGUGGAUGUUGAUGCUACCACUGAAACAGAGAACAUAGAUGAUAAAAACUGGUUUUAGGGAGGGAAGAUAAUGACUUCACUUUUAGACAUGUUGAAAAUUCAACUCUACCUUGAACAGUGCCUGGCACAUAAUAAGCAUUGUUGAGUGUUUGAAUGGGGUACCUGUAGAACAAUUCUAAAUUCCAGGACCUAUGAUGGUCAUAACCUUGAGCUACAGAGAGGUUAUUUCACGCAUGAGCAAAUUAAAGCACAGAAAGUUUAAGCAACUUGUCCAAUGAGUUCUAAUACAUCAGGUCAGCAUUAACUGCUGGAAUAAAGUAUAACCCCAACUGCCUUUUCACUCACUGCUCAUGUUAUAUAAUCAUGGUGUUUAUGUUCACUCUCUGGUUUCUUACUCCACAGAGAAGGUACACUGUAUGACAACAGCAGCCCAGUAAGAUUAAUGGUAACCAAAUCAUUCCAGGAAUGGGCCUUUGCAUAGGCCAGCAUACCAAGUUUGACCAAGCACAGCCUGAGGCAUGUGAAGUUCACAGACCAGGGAUCAACCCAGGGACAGGAGCAACAAUGAACCACAGCAGUGACAAUGCUGGAUCCUCGGCCACCCAGGAACUCAUCUUUUCCUUUUUUAAGUGCCUUUUCUCUGUCAUGCCUUGCCAUCAAAUUAGUCACAUAUCAUUCCACUCUUUCUGUUCUCCACCUGAUAGAAUAUUGUUUCUGCAAUCAACCUAGCUAAAUCCCAAAGACCUUUUGAAUAUCCCAACUCUGGAAUUUAACUUCUGUGACCUAUUCCCACAGAAAGAAUAAUAAAAUCAUGAAGCCAAA